CCCUUAGAUGUUCUGGGCCGCACGCGCGCUACACUGAUGCAUUCAACGAGUCUAAAACCUGCUCUGAUAGGGGUGGGUAAUCUUUUGAAUGUGCAUCGUGAUUGGGAUAGAUGAUUGCAAUUUUUCAUCUUCAACGAGGAAUGCCUAGUAAACGCAAGUCAUCAGCUUGCAUUGAUUACGUCCCUGCCCUUUGUACACACCGCCCGUCGCUCCUACCGAUUGAAUGAUCCGAUGAAUAUCAUGGAUUGAGGAUGCAAGUAGGUUAGCCUAUCUUUAUCUUCGAGAAGUGAAGUAAAUCUUAUCAUUUAGAGGAAGGAGAAGUCGUAACA
rnacentral:rRNA from 1 species